CCAGAGGAGGCAGCGGGCCUGCCUGGGCGGGGGCUGGGAGGGAAACGGUAGAGGAGCCACAAGCAAGACCCUGGGUCCCGGGAGGGCAAGGGCGCCCGGGCCGGCUUCUGGCCCGAUGAAGAGCCAGGCGGCUGGGCCGGUGCUCCUCAGCGCGGGCCUCAGGUCAGCCGGUCCGGCUGCCAGCGCUUCCGGAAAAACAACCCUGGGCGCCGCCCAGCAUGUUGGGCACUCGGCGCGGAGUGCAGCCGCCGGCCCUCGGAGACGUCAGGCGGUCCGGGGCGGCGCGGUCACCGGCGGGAUGUGGUAGCACGUGACACCGGCCCCGGCGCGCUCCUGACGGACGCCGGUCCCCUGCACUAUAUGCGCAGGAUGAAUGACACGAACUUGAGCCCAGUGGGGAUGGAGCAGCUGUUUUCAUCCUCUGUGAGCAAUGCCCUGCCAGUCUCAGGAAGUCACCUGGGUUUGGCUGCCUCUCCCUCUCACAGUGCCAUCCCUGCCCCAGGUCUCCCAGUCGCAAUUCCAAACCUGGGCCCCUCCCUGAGCUCUCUGCCUUCUGCCUUGUCUCUGAUGCUUCCCAUGGGCAUUGGAGAUCGAGGAGUGAUGUGUGGGUUACCUGAAAGAAACUAUACCCUACCUCCACCACCUUACCCUCACCUAGAGAGCAGUUACUUCAGAACAAUUCUACCUGGCAUUUUAUCUUAUUUAGCUGACAGACCACCUCCUCAGUACAUCCACCCCAACUCUAUAAAUGUUGAUGGAAAUACAGCAUUAUCUAUCACCAACAACCCUUCGGCGCUAGAUCCCUAUCAGGCCAAUGGAAAUGUUGGGUUAGAACUAGGCGUUGUUUCAAUUGACUCUCGUUCUGUGAACACACAUGGUGCCCAAAGUCUUCAUCCUAAUGAUGGCCACGAAGUGGCAUUGGACACAACAAUCACUAUGGAGAAUGUUUCUAGGGUUACCAGCCCAAUCUCUACAGAUGGAAUGGCAGAGGAGCUUACCAUGGACGGUGUUACAGGAGAACAUUCCCAAAUCCCAAAUGGCUCUAGAACUCAUGAGCCUCUCUCUGUGGAUUCUGUGAGCAACAACCUUACCGCAGACACUGUAGGACAUGGUGGUGUGAUACCCAUUCAUGGGAAUGGUCUGGAGCUUCCUGUGGUUAUGGAGACAGACCACAUUGCAAAUCGGGUCAAUGGGAUGUCUGACAGUGCCCUCAGUGACUCCAUCCACACCGUGGCCAUGAGCACCAACUCUGUAAGCGUGGCACUCUCUACCUCACACAACCUUGCCUCCCUAGAAUCUGUUUCCCUCCAUGAAGUUGGCCUUAGUCUAGAGCCUGUGGCUGUCUCUUCCAUCACACAGGAGGUUGCUAUGGGGACAGGUCAUGUAGAUGUACCCUCAGAUAGCUUGUCUUUUGUACCACCUUCACUGCAAAUGGAAGACUCCAGUUCAAACAAGGAAAACAUGGCAGCCAUGUUUACAAUUUGGUGCACUCUUUGUGACCGAGCCUAUCCCUCAGACUGCCCUGAUCAUGGACCAGCGACUUUUGUUCCUGACACACCAAUAGAGAGCAGAGCAAGACUAUCCCUUCCGAAGCAGCUUGUUCUCCGCCAGUCCAUUGUGGGAACAGAAGUUGUUGGUGUCCUUCCAUUGAUAGGUGUGUGGACUGCAGAAACCAUUCCUGUGCGGACUUGCUUUGGGCCUCUAAUUGGUCAGCAGAGCCACUCCAUGGAAGUAGCAGAGUGGACAGACAAGGCAGUUAACCAUGUUUGGAAGAUAUACCACAAUGGUGUCCUAGAGUUCUACAUCAUUACAGCUGAUGAAAAUGAGUGUAAUUGGAUGAUGUUUGUGCGCAAAGCCAGGAUUUCAUUAUGUACUUCAUGCUGGCCUGGAACUUGGAGCAACCCUCCUAUAACCAAUCCUGUCUCUGCUUCUCAAGUGCUGGAAUUACAGAUGAACCGUGAAGAACAGAAUUUGGUGGCCUAUCCCCAUGAUGGAAAAAUCUAUUUCUGUACCUCACAAGACAUCCCUCCUGAAAAUGAACUGCUUUUCUAUUAUAGUCGGGAUUAUGCUCAACAGAUUGGUGUUCCUGAACACCCAGAUGUUCACCUCUGUAACUGUGGCAAGGAGUGCAAUUCCUAUUUAGAGUUCAAAGCUCAUCUGACCAGCCAUAUCCAUAACCAUCUCCCUAGCCAGGGCCACAGCAGCAGCCAUGGGCCAAGCCACAGCAAAGAAAGGAAGUGGAAGUGUUCAAUGUGCCCCCAGGCUUUUAUCUCUCCUUCCAAACUCCACGUUCAUUUUAUGGGUCAUAUGGGUAUGAAGCCCCACAAGUGUGAUUUUUGUAGCAAAGCUUUUAGUGAUCCAAGCAACCUACGGACACACCUCAAAAUACAUACAGGUCAGAAGAAUUACAGGUGUACUUUGUGUGACAAGUCUUUCACCCAGAAGGCUCACCUGGAGUCACACAUGGUCAUCCACACAGGUGAGAAGAAUCUCAAGUGUGACUACUGUGACAAGCUGUUCAUGCGGAGGCAGGACCUCAAGCAGCAUGUGCUCAUCCACACACAAGAACGCCAGAUCAAGUGUCCAAAGUGUGAUAAGCUGUUCUUGAGAACAAACCACUUGAAGAAGCAUCUCAAUUCUCACGAAGGAAAACGAGAUUAUGUCUGUGAAAAAUGUACAAAGGCUUACCUAACCAAGUACCAUCUCACUCGCCACCUGAAGACCUGCAAAGGGCCCACCUCCAGUUCCUCAGCACAGGAGGAGGAAGAGGAUGAUGACUCAGAAGAAGAAGAUGUCACAGACUCCAUGAGGACAGACGACUGUAGGAUGAGCAGUGCUAUUUACUCAACAGAUGAGUCUCUCUCCGCACAUAAAUAAAAAGCACCUGCUUUGGAUGGAACAUGCAUUGGGAAAACACAAAACCAACCUAUUGCAGUGUUUUUUUUUUUUAAUUUAUUUAUAAUGAUUUUGAAUCAUCUUAAUCGAGUUGAUGUCAAUUUUUUUCCUCUGAGGGUGCACUUCAAAGCUGGCUCCUUGAAGCAUUAAUGUCUUCAUCUGUUGCUCCAAAGGCUUCUUUGAUGCCAUCUCGGUAGACACUGAUUCCACUUCCUCUUUUUGGAGGGUCAGCCUUGAUAGACCUUCCUUGGUUGAUCUGUAGUCCUGGAAUGUGUCACCUAGUUUCCUCUUGUGCGAGUUUGGCAACUUUGCACAAGUUCAGAAAGUUUGCUGGACCGAGGCGCUCAUGACCCUCAAGCUUUAAUGCCUUUAUAUGGAAACAUGUCUUUCCCAUGUCUUUCCUUCAGGUCGGCCUCAGUGUGUAUAAAUGCCUAGAUCUCUGCACAAACUCCUGGCAGAAGUGAGCCAUAAAAGAAUUUUUCAUCUAUGAAACACCAUAUUGUUAAGUUGGAUGUCAUACUGGCAAUAUGCAGACACCAGACACAAUUUUCCAAUUGUUGCCUUUGUGGCAUUGUUUGCUUCUGCCUCCAUCUCAAAACUCACAAGAAAUCUGGUAUCUAAAUUGUGUGUAGCAAGCCUAAUUGCAGCUGCCUUAAUUACGGUCAGCGGCAGUAUCAAGUUCAACAGUCGGUGGGACUGACCCUUGGAAAAGAGUAAGAGUAAACACUUGGCGGUGAACCACUUUGUGAUCUGCUGAAUAGCUGCUUGUUGAGGUUUCCAAAUGGAAUAGUAGAGAAGCCUAAGUACUCUUGAAUAUGGUGUUCAUCAGGGCUGGUGUUUCUCUGACCUCUUUGUUGGCUCAAGGCAUACAUUUCCCCAAACAGUCUUUCUUGUUGUGUAUAGUUCUAGAAAAACUACAAGUAGGCAACAAAUGAGGAGUAACAACAGUUCCUCCAAGAGUUUUGGAGUUGGUCAUCUCAGGAGCACACAGGUUGCUUAAGGCUGCACUGAGCACAACAUCUAGAGGAGGAAGCACUACAACAUCAUCAUACAUGAGUGAGUUAGCAUCCAUACUUCUUUACUUCCCAGUGAACACUAAGUGCCCGUAAAUGUGUUGUCGUGCAGUGGUUUUGAUAGGAAAUGCUCUCUGAUCCUUCUAACCCACUGUCACAAGUGUACUGAGUGGGAAUGGCUAAAGCACUUACAGAAGAAUAUCCAAAUGGAUUCUUUAGGAUGGAAUAGGAGAUAAGGCAUGUGUCGGUUCUAUUUUUAAGUAAUGGGUGGCAAGGAAAGGGCCAGCUUGUGAUAUCUUUAUUUACAUGUUUUUUUUUUAUUUGGGAGAUGCACUUAUGCCUGAGUCAGGGUGGCUUUUUGUCCCAACAUUGUUCCAUUCCUCCCCACCCCCAGCCAUCCUCACUGUUGACCACAUGUUAAGCACUAUUGUAUGCAUUUCACAGAGACUUUUAACAGCAGUGCAAGUGUUAGGAUGACUAAUUCCUAAAAAGUAACACCUGCCUAACUUAUGGCUACUUCAAGUUUACAGCCUGCUUCCCAGCGUCAGCAGGAAUUCAAAGAAGUAGUUAUGGUUCAGAAGACAGUGACUGAGGUCCAGAAAACCCCUUUGAUGGAAACCACCUGGCUCUGUGUGCAAGCGCGUACUUUGUGUCUCUGUCUUUAGGAAAGCCUUCAGUAACAUUCAGAGGAUCUGGCAUUAACAGUGUUCAAAUAAUGCCUACCAGAAAGUGCACAUGGACUCAACUGACAAGACUGGCACUUCAGCCUACAGAAGGAAGGAGGGGAAUGGUUUGUUUAUGUAGGUUUACUUUAUGAAAACCAUUAAAAUGCUGCUAGCUGAAAGCAGCAAGUAGUUCCAAAUGCAUUGGUGGGUUUCACAGGCCUUCCCAGUUAUCCUCCUUGCUGAAGGUCCUUACCAGCUAAGUAUAGAGGAUAUCAAAGGAUUUGGCAGAAGAGAAGGCUUACUAGUCCUCAUAUGGGUCUGUUUUCAGGUCCCUGUGAGCAGGCAUAACCAGCUUUUGGCAAGAAGCAGACACAUCCUGAAGUUGACAGGAUUGAUGGAACAUGCCUUCCUGCUCAAGGGCACAACCUUGGCUUGAGUGGAGGACUCUGCUGAGAAGUUCAGAUCCUGAAAUAAACUGGAUACAUGAUGCCCUAAAUCAUCCUAAGCUUUGGAAAUUAGGAAUAAUUUCUUUUCUGGGCUAAAGCCUGAACACAUCUAUAAUGCCUUGAUUAUGCGUGCUAAUUCCUUAAAAGUUGAGACAAAACAUUCCUGAAAACCAUGAAGUUCAUAAUGGCUUUGUCAAAAAUAUGAUUAAUAUGCAAAAGGUGAAAAUGCCUUUAGGAAUCACAUUUUUAAAUCAUUGGGCCAGAGAGACUGCUUAGUCAGCAAAAAAUGCUCAUUUUGCAAGCAUAAAGACCUGAUGAAUUCAAUUCAAUUCUGGAAUCUAUCAUGCAUAUUGGUAAUCCUAGCCUGGGAAGAUGGAGCCAAGUGGAUCCCGGAGCAGGCCAGGCUGGGUGGCCAUUUAGUCCUGUCUCCCUCCUCCUCAGUAUUGGGAGGACAAGCAUGAACUACCACACCAGCCUAACACAGCAAGACCCGUCUCAAAAACUGUUACUACUUAUUUUAUAAGCCUACAGUUCCUACGUCAGACAGCAUGUUUAAGAAAUAAUUUUUUGAAAAUCUUUUAUUUUCAAGAAAUGCAAGAACUCUGUACAAUACCCAGUUGAAGGCAGAUACAAAGGCUGUGGACUGCCACCAAAGCUGCAGAGGGGAAUGACAAAAAGAACUGAACUCAGUUUUGUUUCCACCAUUAUGGCUAUAGGUACACUUGAACAUUUCUAGGCCAGCUUUUUGAAAUCCCGAGGUAAGGUAAGCAAAUCAGGAAACUGAUCGUUGUCAGGUCUCCAUUGGUGUCUGUGGGCUCUUGCUCCCACAAGGGCCACUAACAGACAAGCCUUUUGCGCUUCCAAUAACCAGUCUCUCCCGUCUUCCAAAUGCUUCGUUUACUAAAAGGAACCAUGAGAAAAGGAGUUAAGAGUCUAAAGACUAGAUUAUAAAACAAUAUUAAGGGCUUGUUUUGAGGUGAAAACUUUAUGUGAAAGAUAGAUUUAAUACUAUGUGAAGCAGGGAUGCCAGACCAAUUUAAUGACUCUUUUUUUUUUUCCAAUUUUGCUUAAUCUUUAUUGCAUUUCACAGCAUGGGCAGACACAAUUUAACUGUCCGGUCCUGUCUCUUUAUCUCUACAUUUCAAGGAGCUUUUUUUUCUUUUUUAAAAUUUCAUUAAAUUUUUAUUUUUAUAUUAAUUAGUUUAUUCACUUUGUAUCCCAGCUGUAGCUCCCCUCCUUCAUCUCCCAUGUCCACCCUCCCUCCCUCAUCACCUCCCAUGCCCCUCUCCAAGUUCACUGAUAGAUGAGGUCUUCCUCCCCUUCCAUCUGACUCUAGUUUAUCAGGUCCUAUCAGGACUGGCUGCAUUGUCCUCUGUGGCCUGGCAAGGCUGCUCUCCCCUCAGGGGAGGCAGUCAAAGAGCCAGCCACUAAGUUCAUGUCAGAGACAGUCCCUGGUGACUCUUAAUCAUCUCUUGGGCUUGUCUUUAACUCAAAUCUACCUUGGAACAGCGCUCUGCUUCAGAUUUUUUCCCUCUAUAUCAUGACCACACAUAUAUAAUCUAUAAUAUUUCAUUAUCCUAUAAAUUCAAAUAAUAGCAACUGACAAAAGUUUAGGAUCCUUCCUCAUCAUGGGAGGGAAAAUUUAGUGGGGACAUAUUGUCUAUAGGGUACACUAAAUAGUAAGUAACCUCAACAAUUACUAUUUAACACAUUAAAUUCUCACCCUGUGCUUAGUCCUUACACUUUCUGACAGAGCAGGAUCUAGAAGGCUUCUUACCUGAAGAGACAGUGCUUAUGUCCCAAACUCGGAGUCCUUCUCUCUGUCCUCCAAAGGCAUAUACAAAUGGCAAAUCAGGACAACAUGAAGAACAAAAAAGAACUCCCUAGAAAGAAAAGAACUGAAAUGUCAGUGAUUUCUAACCAUUUAGAGAGUUCUAACCUCUAGAUCCCUACCCCUAUUCUCUAAGGACAGGUUUGAUUCGGUACUCAAAGCUAGAUAAGCACAACAUUACGGCUGCAUCGUGAGGCCAGCCGUGAUUUAUUAGCUAUUUCCUAUCUAGUUCCCUGUAUACACCCAGAAACCUUAUUUAUCUUUUCAAACAGUAACAGUCAUAUAAUAGGUCACUAUGAAGUCUUUUUUCUUAAAUAGUCCUUUUGCAUGUAUGCAGGUUGGAUAUCAGGGCUUUCCUAGGCAAGUGUUCUACCACUGAGCCCCCAAACCACUGGCAAACAUUACAUUUCUGUGUUGGGGUGGGCAUGUGUAUGGACAGAGGCCAACUUAGAGGAGUUGGUGCUCUCCUUUUACAGCAUGGUCAUCAAGCUUAGUAGCAAGUGCCACUCUAGCCCUCAAUUUAUUAGUAAACUUUUAAUGUUUUUGUUUUUACACUCCUAAAUAUUAAAAAUACACUUUACAGAAAGUAUGAAUGAAAAAACUACAAAAUCCCUUAGUGAGAUAACUUGUUAUUUCAGUAUAAGUACAUGAGCCAAGUAGUCAUUUAUGGAUAAGCCUGGGAUGGAGCGAAGAAACUUAAUGGCCUGCCUGUAAGCUAAAAACACAGUGUUAAAAGCUGUGAAAUUCUACUAUGCUGCUGAUGUUAUUCAUAUAACUCAGUGGCUCACCCAGUAAGCACUCACUGUUAAAAAUACUACUUAUUCUAAAUGUUUUGUGUACACAUAUAUUACCAACCUCAAUGUAGAAAGCAGGCUAUGAGAAAUAAAUAAAGAGCCCCCAAUAGCUCUAGUGCCCAAAGCCCCAAGAUUCCCUGAGGCAGCUGUUGAAGGCUAAAAGUUGUGGCCCUUCCCUGUGUCCUUUGCCCACUCUUCUUGAUCCUAUAAAGUGACUAGUAAGCUUGUAAACUGGAAAGGAAUUCAGACAGUAACUGAACUCUUUAAAACUCUCCUAAGUUAUAAACUCCCAUCAAACGUGACUAGCUCAAAAUUGGAUUCAACACAUCCUUAACUGCAGUGUUUCCCAGGAAAAGACAAGCAAAUAAAUAGGUCAGAAACACAAUAAAAAUGUCAGGGAGAUGCUCACCAUUUUCAUGUCUCUCGAAUGAAUGAGACUUGGCCUGUCUCCUAAGAUGUCCCAGAUCUUCACAUAUUUGUCUGCUGAAGCGGUAACGAGGCAGCCUUUGAUCUGACUGCUCAGAUCAAGACCUAGAAGAUAAGAUUAGUUCAGGAGCUACUGCCUGAAAUUUAGACUUAACUUGUCAUAACUUAAUGCAUUUGAAAGAAACAUCAUUCUUACCAGAGAUUUCAUCAUUGUGUGCAUUAAGUGUAAAUAUUGGCUUAUCUGAACGUGCAUCCAGAUUAUAUACAAAGCCAUCAUCUGUACUGGCC